CAGUGUUACAGCUCUUUUAGAAUUUGUCUAGCAGGCUUUCCAGUUUUUUCCGGAAAGCCCAA
ensembl:snRNA U7 U7 small nuclear RNA